UACCGAGGUGGCAAGCGGUGGUCGGAAUUACUGGGCGUAAAGGGCUCGUAGGCGGCCAACUAAGUCGGACGUGAAAUCCCCAGGCUCAACCUGGGAACUGCGUCCGAUACUGGAUGGCUUGAAUCCGGGAGAGGGAUGCAGAAUUCCAGGUGUAGCGGUGAAAUGCGUAGAUAUCUGGAGGAAUACCGGUGGCGAAGGCGGCAUCCUGGACCGGCAUUGACGCUGAGGAGCGAAAGCCAGGGGAGCAAACGGG
rnacentral:rRNA from 1 species